rnacentral:rRNA from 1 species
AUUGAACGCUGGCGGCAUGCCUUACACAUGCAAGUCGAGCGAGUGAAUCUCCUUCGGGAGUGAAGCUAGCGGCGGACGGGUGAGUAACACGUGGGCAACCUGCCUCAUAGAGGGGAAUAGCCUUUCGAAAGGAAGAUUAAUACCGCAUAAGAUUGUAGCUUCGCAUGAAGUAGCAAUUAAAGGAGCAAUCCGCUAUGAGAUGGGCCCGCGGCGCAUUAGCUAGUUGGUGAGGUAACGGCUCACCAAGGCGACGAUGCGUAGCCGACCUGAGAGGGUGAUCGGCCACAUUGGGACUGAGACACGGCCCAGAUUCCUAUGGGAGGCAGCAGUGGGGAAUAUUGCACAAUGGGGGAAACCCUGAUGCAGCAACGCCGCGUGAGUGAUGACGGCCUUCGGGUUGUAAAGCUCUGUCUUCAGGGACGAUAAUGACGGUACCUGAGGAGGAAGCCACGGCUAACUACGUGCCAGCCGCCGCCGUAACAC